GGCUGGUCUGAUGGUAGUGGGUUAUCAGAACUUAUUAACAUUAGUGUCACUAAAGUUGGUCUGUAACCCCCCACUGCUAAAUUUGACUGGCUUUGA
rnacentral:Y_RNA from 1 species